CCUACGGGUGGCAGCAGUGGGGAAUAUUGGGCAAUGGGCGCAAGCCUGACCCAGCAACGCCGCGUGAAGGAAGAAGGCUUUCGGGUUGUAAACUUCUUUUGUCAGGGACGAAGCAAGUGACGGUACCUGACGAAUAAGCCACGGCCAACUAGGUGCCAGCAGCAGCGGUAAUACGUAGGUGGCAAGCGUUAUCCGGAUUUACUGGGUGUAAAGGGCGUGUAGGCGGGGAAGCAAGUCCGAUGUGAAAACCACGGGCUCAACCUGUGGCCUGCAUUUGAAACUGUUUUUCUUGAGUACUGGAGAGGCAGACGGAAUUCCUAGUGUAGCGGUGAAAUGCGUAGAUAUUAGGAGGAACACCAGUGGCGAAGGCGGUCUGCUGGACAGCAACUGACGCUGAGGCGCGAAAGCGUGGGGAGCAAACAGGAUUAGAUACCCCUGUAGUC
rnacentral:rRNA from 1 species